UAACCUGCGGGCGUGAUGCCGAGGUAAUACGACGGGGGCAAGAGUUAAUCUGAAUUGCUGGGCGUAAAGGGUGCGUAGGCGUGUAUUUAAGGCUUCCGUGAAAUCCCCGGGCUCAACCUGGGAAUGGCGGUGGAUACUGGAUAGCUAGAGUGUGUCAGAGGAUGGUGGAAUGCCCGGUGUAGCGGUGAAAUGCGUAGAGAUCGGGAGGAACAUCAGUGGCGAAGGCGGCCAUCUGGGACAACACUGACGCUGAAGCACGAAAGCGUGGGGAGCAAACAGGAUUAGAUACCCGUGUAGC
rnacentral:rRNA from 1 species